GAUGAACGCCGGCGGCGUGCUUAACACAUGCAAGUCGAGCGAGUGAGUUCUUCGGAACGAUCUAGCGGCGGACGGGUGAGUAACACGUGGGCAACCUGCCUCAUAGAGGGGAAUAGCCUCCCGAAAGGGAGAUUAAUACCGCAUAACGUCAUUGAAGGGCAUCCUUCGAUGAUCAAAGGAGCAAUCCGCUAUGAGAUGGGCCCGCGGCGCAUUAGCUAGUUGGUGAGGUAACGGCGCACCAAGGCGACGAUGCGUAGCCGACCUGAGAGGGUGAUGGGCGACAUUGGGACUGAGACACGGCCCAGACUCCUACGGGAGGCAGCAGUGGGGAAUAUUGCACAAUGGGGGAAACCCUGAUGCAGCAACGCCGCGUGAGUGAUGACGGCCUUCGGGUUGUAAAGCUCUGUCUUUGGGGACGAUAAUGACGGUACCCAAGGAGGAAGUCACGGCUAACUACGUGCCAGCAGCCGCCGCCGUAA
rnacentral:rRNA from 1 species